GUGAAAACUAAUUAAUAUAUACAUAUAUUAAUAUAUGCCUAAGCGGGAAUACUAUCAAGUUAUUGGUGCUAUUAGAUUUUCAAUUUUUUAAUAAAAAAAUAGACGGUUAGGAUGAUAUGGGCCCCCUAAAAUUGAGUGAGUUAUUGGUUUAAUAGUAUAAUCUAACGGAUGAAAAUAGUCACAGAGUUAAAUCUAAUAGCGAAAAACUUGAUAAUACUAAACUCUUGGUGUUAUAGAUAGUAUUCCAGUCGGACUCUCUCUCUCUCUCUCUCUCUCUCUCUCUAUAUAUAUAUAUAUAUAUAUAUGAGUUCGGCUAUUAUAUUAUCAAUAUUACCAAUCUCUUGGAGUCUUGGUAUUAUGAUGCUAUUGAGUUUUCUGCUAUUGAAUCUAUCUUUUGAUCAUUUUCGCCCGUUAGACUAUACUAUUCAACCAACCACUCACUUAACUCUAAAGGACUACUAUCAUCCUAACCGCACAUCCUUUCAUCUAACGACCAAAAUUUCGAUACUACCAAAAGCUUAGUACUAUCGAUAGUAUAGAAAAAUAAUUAUAUAUAUAUAUAUAGAGAGAGAGAGAGUUGGAUUGGGCUACUAUUAGUAGCAAAAUUUUUUUGUUGCUACCAGUUUUUUAGCCUUUGGAUCAACUCUUUUCAUUAUUUCUAACCAUUAGAUUAAAUACUAUAAUCUAGUGGGGACCACUCAAUCCUAGGGAGACCACUCAACUCUAACCAACUAAUAUCAUCCUGACCAUAUAAUUUUUCAUCUAAGUAUUAAAAAUUUGAUAGCAAAAAAAACGUUUUACUAUUAAUAGUAUUCCAGCCUAAUUCUAUUUCUAUAUAUAUAUAUAUAUAUAUAUAUUCAUAAAAA
rnacentral:lncRNA from 1 species